UGGGGAAUAUUGGACAAUGGGCGAAAGCCUGAUCCAGCCAUGCCGCGUGUGUGAAGAAGGUCUUCGGAUUGUAAAGCACUUUAAGUUGGGAGGAAGGGCAUUAACCUAAUACGUUAGUGUUUUGACGUUACCGACAGAAUAAGCACCGGCUAACUCUGUGCCAGCAGCCGCGGUAAUACAGAGGGUGCAAGCGUUAAUCGGAAUUACUGGGCGUAAAGCGCGCGUAGGUGGUUUGUUAAGUUGGAUGUGAAAUCCCCGGGCUCAACCUGGGAACUGCAUUCAAAACUGACUGACUAGAGUAUGGUAGAGGGUGGUGGAAUUUCCUGUGUAGCGGUGAAAUGCGUAGAUAUAGGAAGGAAAACCAGUGGCGAAGGCGACCACCUGGACUAAUACUGACACUGAGGUGCGAAAGCGUGGGGAGCAAACA
rnacentral:rRNA from 1 species